CCAAACAGAGCCUCCUGCCUAGCAAAGGACACUGAAGCUGGGCAGCGGCAGGAGCUGCGUCUCAGGCUUUAAGGACUACAGUAAAUCUUCAAACAAUUUAUCCAAACAAAGGCCAGCGUGUAGAGAGGAGAGGGGAAAAAAUACACGGGAAGCAGAUGAAUAAGCAACAUCAAUUAUGGGGGGUUGACCUUUCUUGCCCCGCACCAUGGCACAGAUUUCACACCAAAUCGCAGCAGAUUGAAGUUGACAUGCCUGGAGUGAACGCAACGGUCUCCACAAUGUUGCCACUCUGCAUUCACCGGGGCUGCUGAGAAAAGGAGAGGAGGGAGAAAAUAAUGGGGAGUGUAUGUGUGUGUGUGUGAAUGAAAAAUCACACAUAAUGGUCCUGGGUUUAUUUUUACAGAGAGCAAAAUAGCUCAAUUUGAGCACUUAGACGGUCGAAAUUGGCUCAUGUGAGAUACAGAAGGUACAUCCAAAGGGACAGUUGAAUCAAGGUGCCUUGAGCUACGUGGCCAGAAAAAGGGAGAAAAAUUAAACACAGUUUUGGACAUA